UUGCACUGAAUGAGAUUUUAACACGAAGUGAGUGGCGGACGGGUGAGUAACACGUGGGUAACCUGCCCAGAAGCAGGGGAUAACACCUGGAAACAGAUGCUAAUACCGUAUAACAGAGAAAACCGCCUGGUUUUCUUUUAAAAGAUGGCUCUGCUAUCACUUCUGGAUGGACCCGCGGCGCAUUAGCUAGUUGGUGAGGUAACGGCUCACCAAGGCGAUGAUGCGUAGCCGACCUGAGAGGGUAAUCGGCCACAUUGGGACUGAGACACGGCCCAGACUCCUACGGGAGGCAGCAGUAGGGAAUCUUCCACAAUGGACGCAAGUCUGAUGGAGCAACGCCGCGUGAGUGAAGAAGGGUUUCGGCUCGUAAAGCUCUGUUGUUAAAGAAGAACGUGGGUGAGAGUAACUGUUCACCCAGUGACGGUAUUUAACCAGAAAGCCACGGCUAACUACGUGCCAGCAGCCGCGGUAAUACGUAGGUGGCAAGCGUUAUCCGGAUUUAUUGGGCGUAAAGCGAGCGCAGGC
rnacentral:rRNA from 1 species